GGGUCCGUGGUCAGCUGGCGCUCCUCCGCCUCAGACACACGGGUGGUCGCCGUGGUCAGGUGGCGCGCCUCAGCACCCAGCAGGUUGGCCGCAGCAGGGGUGGCCAGGUGAGGGCUCUUCCCAGGGACACGGGGACGCCGGGUCGCAGCCGGACCAGUGAUAUGGACAUGUUAUGCUUGUGAUGGAUAUGUUAGGCGGAUUUGUGAACUUUGUGUAUGCGGAUUUGUGACAGGAUGAAUACCAACUAUUCUGUAUGUGGAUUUGUGACCAUUGAUGGAUGCAUGUGUCGAUUUGUGACUAUAUAUGUUAUGCAGGUUCUAUUACAUAUGUUAUGUAU
rnacentral:lncRNA from 1 species